rnacentral:rRNA from 1 species
AAGACCUUGCACUUUUGGAGCGGCCGAUGUCUGAUUAGCUAGUUGGUGGGGUAAUGGCCUACCAAAGCUUCGAUCAGUAGCUGGUCUGAGAGGACGGCCAGCCACACUGGGACUGAGACACGGCCCAGACUCCUACGGGAGGCAGCAGUGGGGAAUUUUGGACAAUGGGCGCAAGCCUGAUCCAGCCAUGCCGCGUGAGUGAAGAAGGCCUUCGGGUUGUAAAGCUCUUUCAGCCGGGAAGAAAAGGUUGCGACUAAUAAUCGCAAUCCAUGACGGUACCGGAAGAAGAAGCACCGGCUAACUACGUGCCAGCAGCCGCGGUAAUACGUAGGGUGCGAGCGUUAAUCGGAAUUACUGGGCGUAAAGGGUGCGCAGGCGGUUUUGUAAGUCAGAUGUGAAAUCCCCGGGCUUAACCUGGGAACU